AUUUUCUGUCUGGAUGAUCUGUCCAGUGCUGUGAGUGGGGUGUUAAAGUCUCCCACUAUUAUUGUGUUAUUGUCGAUUUGUCCUUUUAAGGUUGUUAGCAGUUGCCUUAUAUAUUGUGGUGAACCUAUGUUGGGUGAGUAGAUAUUUAAAAUUUUUAUAUCUUCUUCUUGGAUUGAUCUUUGAUCAUUAUGUAGUGACCAUCCUUCUCCCUUAAAAUAUUCUUCAUUUUAAAGUCUAUUUUGUCUGAUAUGAGUAUUGCUACUCCAGCUUUCUUUUGAUUCCCGUUCACAUGGAAUAUUUUCUUCCAUCCUGUCACUUUGAAUUUGUAUGUGUCCCUAGAAGUGAAGUGGGUUUCUUGAAGACAGCACAUAUUUGGGUCUUGUUUUUGUAUCCAUUCAGCCAGUCUAUGUCUUUUGGUUGGGGCAUUUAGUCCAUUAACAUUUAAGGUAAUUAUUUAUAUUUAUGUUCUUACUGCCAUUUUAUUAGUUUCUCUGGAUUUGUUUUUGUUGCUGUUUUUUCUUCUUCUUUUGUUCUCUCUUCUUGUGGUUUGAUGACUAUCUUUAGUGUUGUAUUUGAGUUGAUUUUUCUUAUUUGUUUGUGUAUCAAUUUUAGAUUUUUGAUUUGCAGUUAUUUUGAAGUUUUGGUAUGGGAGUCUAUAUAUAUAUACAUGAGAUUGUUUUAAGCUGUUGGGCUCUUAAUUGCAAGUUUAUCUCCAGUGUCCUGCAUUUGUACCCUCCUCUUCUCACAUUUUCUGAUUUUGGUGGCAUAAUUGUGCAUGGAUGAUUUCGUAUCUUUACUGUAUUUAUUCUUUUACUGGUGAGCCUUGUCAUUUGUGGGAUUUUUGUUCCUGGUUGUGGCCUUUUCUGUCUAGAGAAGUUCCUUUAGUAUUUGUUGUAAAGCUGGUUUAGUGUUGCUGAAUUCUCUCAGCUUUUGCUUAUCUGCGAAGCUUUUGAUUUCUCCUUCAAAUCUGAAUGAGAGCCUUGCUGGGUAAAGUAAUCUUGGUUGGAGGUUUUUUCCUUUCAUCAUGUUAAGUAUAUCAUGGACUCCCUUCUGGCCUGCAGAGUUUCUGCUGAAAAAUCUGCCAAUAACCUUAUUGGGGUUCCCUUGUAUGUUACUUGUUUCUUUUCCCUAGCUGCUUUCAAGAUUUUCUCUUUGUCUUUAAUUUUGGUCAGUUUGAUUAAUAUGUGUCUUGGUGUAUUCCUCCUUGGGUUUAUUUUAUAUGGUACUCAUUGCACUUCCUGGAUUUGAGUGAAUGGUUCCUUUCCCAUGUUAGGGACGUUUUUGGCUAUUAUCUCUUGGAAUAUUUUUUCUGUCCCCUUCUCUCUCUCUUCUCCUUCUGACACCCCUAUAUUAUGGAUGUUGGUGUGUUUAAUGUUAUCCCAGAGUUCUCUGAGACUCUCUUCAUUUGUUUUCAAUCUUUUUUCUCUUUUCUGUUCUGCAUCUGUAAUUUUCACUAAUCUGUCCUCCACCUCACUUAUUCGUUCUUCUGCCUCCUGUAUUCUGCUGUUAGCUGCUUCUAGUGAAUUUUUUAUUAUAGUUAUUGUAUUUUGCAUCUCUUCCUGUGUAAGUUUUAUAUCUUGUAUCUCUUUGCUUAGUGUUUCCUGUUAGUUAUCCAUCUUUGCCUCCAGUUUAUUUCCAAUGUCUUGCAUCAUCUUCAGCAUCAACAGUCUAAAGUCUUUUUCCUGGAGGCUGAGAAUCUCCUUAUGGCUUAGCUGAUUUUCUGGGUUUUUUUUCUUCCUCUCUCAUCUAAGUUAUAGUUCUCUGUCUUUUCAUUUUUAUAGGUUUUGGUGUGGUGACCUUUUUACAGAGAGUAGAAUUGUAGCCUCUCUUACUUCUGGUGUCUGCCCCCUUUGUGGCUGAAGUUGGUAUGGGGGCUUGCUGUAGGCUUCCUGAUGGAGGAACUGAUGCCUGUGCACUGUUGGGUGGAGCUGAUUCCUAUCCCUCUGGUGGGUGGGGCUUUCUCUCUGGGUGAUAUUAGAGGUGGCUGUGUGCCUGGGGGAUCUUUAGGCAGCUUCUUUACUGAUGCAUGGGUCUGUGAUCCCACCUGGAUUGUUCUUUGACUUGGGGCUUCUCAGUGCUGCCAGUGGGGCCAGAUUUUCCCAAAAUGGCCACCUCCAGAGAAAGGCACACUGCUGAAUAUUCCCAGAGCUUUGCUUCCAAUAGUCUUCCCUCACAACAAGCCGCAUUCACCCCUGUUUUCCCAGGAGGUCCUCCAAGAACUGCAGUCAGGUUUGACCCAGAUUCCUAUGGAGACUUAGUUUUUCCCUGGGACCUAGUGCACAUGAAAGUCUGUGUGCACCUUUUAAGAAUGGGGUUUCCUUUUCCCUAGUCUUGUGGAGCUCCUACACACAAACCCCACUGGCCUUCAGUGCCAGAUGCUCCAGGAGCAUUUUCUCCCAGUGCCAGAUCCCCGCAUGUGGGAGUUUGGUGUGGGGCGGAGAACUCUCACUCCUGUAGGUGAGUCUCUGUGAACCACUUACUUUCCAGUCUCUGGGGCUUCCAACCCAGGAGAUAUGGGGUUGCUUGUAUCGUGUAAUCACCCCUCCUACCUCUUGAUGUGGCCUCCUGUUUUUCUUCUGGAGUAGGAUAUCUUUUUGAAGGUUUCUGGUCCAUUUGGUUGAAGAUUGCUCACCAUGUAAUUGUAAAUUUUGUUGUUUUUAGGAGAGAAGUUGAGCUCCAGUCCUUAUAUUCUGCCAUCUUAAUCCCAUCUCCUUAAAGUCUUAAUUGUUUUAAAAAAUAGUUACUGUUAUCUUCAAUGAUUCUUUGUUUAUGUCUGCAUUUUUCAGCAGUGAGAUAAUAAAUGUAAAAUACCCAGGAGAGCAUGAUACAGGAUAGAAAUUCAGGUGAAAUUACAUUAACAUCCUUUCUCAAUGUUCUCACUUUUACUCUACUAUAAUAGUUAUUAUUCUGUAAUAUACUUUUUGGCUUAAUAUUCUUUAAUAGGUGUGAGUUCUUCUAGGGAAGAAUCUUUGCAUUUAAAGAACAUAACCCAAAGUUCAGCUCAUAAUAGGCUUUCAAUACAAAUGUGUUGAAUGAAUGGAAUAGUUCACCAAUGUUUUAAUUAAUGUUCUUUUGCUAAUUUUAUUAAGAAAACUUUUAUUAGAAUUUAAUCUUAUAAUAAAUAAAAGUCACUCUGACUCAUUUUUAAAAACCUAGGAGUAGGAACACUUGGCUGUUCAAAUUAAACUGAUGAAUCCCACUCAUAAAAAUGUGAAAUGAUAUUCAUUCUAAGCCUAAAAUUCUUCACAUAAACAAAGUAAAGGGGUGAUCAUCUCAUCACAUGCAGCCUGAAAGAAAGCUCAUUUAUUCUUGUUUUAGUCAGAUUCAAAGCCCUGGGACCAAAGAUGGCCAGCAUCUCUUCCACAGAGUUCACUACCUGUGGAAGAAGCAUGUCCAGUGAGUGACCCACUCUGGGGAUGCCAAGAGUGAAGACAGCAAAGUCAGCAUUUCCCAAGCAAUCUAGUUAAGAGAACUUAGGUAGAAAAUUAGGUUAGAGAAUCCCUAGUGACCUGAAGUAAGUCAGACAGCAUUAGGAGACCCCAUUCUCCUGGCAAGGAAGCAGAGCUCCUGCCUUCUCACUCAGAUCCAUGGUCCUGAACAGGUAGAAUCCCCAACUAGGAAAUCAAAUUUUGACCUAAUUCAUCAAGUUUUAUAAUACUGGAGCCAAUUAUUUAACAAAUUUAAAAAAAUAUAGUUUAUUAAUAAUGUUCUAUCAAUUUAUGCUGUACAGCAGUGACCUGGUCAUAUAUAUAUUCUUUUUCUCAUAUUAUCUUCCAUCAUCUUCUAUCACAAGUGAUUGGUUAUAGUUCCUGUGCUGUACAACAGGACCGCAUUAUCCUUUCUAAAUGUGAAAGUUUGCAUCUACUAACCCCAGACUCCCAGUCCAUUCCACUCCCUCCUCCUUGGCAACCACAAGCGUGUUCUCCCUGUCUGUGAGUCUGUUUCCGUUCUGUAGAUAGGUUCAUUUGUGCCAUAUUUUCGAUUGCACAUAUAACAUAUAAGUGAUGUCAUACGGCAUUUGUCUUUCUCUUUCUGACUUCACUUAGUAUGAGAAUCUCCAGUUGCAUCUAUGUUGCUGCAAGUAUCAUUAUUACAUUCUUUUUUAUGGCUGAGUGUAUUCUAUUGUGUGUAUGUAUCACAUCUUCUUAUUCCAUUCAUGGAGCCAAUUAUUAAUAGGCAACAGUGCCCACUGGCAAUUAAAUGAACAAACAGACUGUCCUUCAGGAUCCCUUCCCUACUAUAAUGCCAUGUAAUGUAUUAAAAUGUAUUUAAAUAAAACAUACUUUAGAGUGAAUUUAAAGACUGUACAAAGAGGCUAUUUCCGUAAUAACUUGCAGAUGGACGAUUGUAACAACACUUUAAAGAUUUGUUUCCUUGCCUGCAGUCAAUUUUCUUUAAUGACAAUUCCUAAUGAACCCAUAUGAAAACCACUCCAUUCACUCAAAAAAUUAAAAAAAAUAGAACUAUCAUGUGGUUCAGUAAUUCUACUCAUGUGUAUUUACCUGAAAACAAAAACAAAAACAAAAACACUAACUCAAAAAGAUAUGUGAAUCCCCAUAUUAUGUAUAAUAACCAAGAUAUGGAAACAACCUAAGUGUCCCUGAUGGAUGAACAGAUAAAGAAAUUGUGAAUAUUCCACACACUGGAAUAUUCAACCAUAAAAAAGAAGGAAAUCUUGUCAUUUGUGACAAACAUAGAUGGACCUUGAAGGUAUGCUAAAUGAAAUAAGUCAGAAAA
rnacentral:lncRNA from 1 species